GACAGAGGUGCCGAGCGUUAGGCGGAAUCACUAGGCUUAAAGCGUGUGUAGGCGGACUUCUAAGUACCUUGUGAAAUCCCCCGGCUCAACCGGGGAACUGCUUGGUAUACUGGUUGUCUUGAGCCACUUAGGGGCAGUCGGAACAGACGGUGGAGCGGUGAAAUGCGUAGAUAUCGUCUGGAACGCCAAAGGUGAAAACAGACUGCUGGGAGUGUGCUGACGCUGAGACACGAAAGCCAGGGGAGCAAACGGG
rnacentral:rRNA from 1 species